GACGAAUUAUCCAUGAUAACAUUUUUCAAUAAACUAUCAAUGCACAAAUUGGCCCUGAAGAGUGCUGCAGUUUAGCAAUAUGUGCGCAAAAAUGUCAUCUUACUUGUUGCAUUUUUAAUGACGCAUUCAAUUUGACACAUACUGUAUCGUAGUCCUUUCAUGGUUCACACCAUUCACGGCUCAAAAUGGCAUGUAAUCGAUUCCGGCGAUAAUUAUACGCGUCAAUAGUUGGAGCAUGACCAUGUGACGUUCAUUGUUUCUCAGCAUGAUGAUUUCUGCCGGUAAUGAUCAAUAAUAUAGAGAAGGAUAUGGAACGCGUCGGAAAUAGGGCGUAUAGAGAGAAACAGUGUGAAAUGCUAGCGGACAUGAAACUGCCAAUUACUGAAAACGCGAUCAAGACUGAUGGCAUACAAGUAAAAAUUACUGCGGAAUUCGUUUUGCACCGGAGAACGUAUUUCUCCUGGUAAUUUUGAAUUACAUCGUUCUGAAACAUUCAUUGCUGAGAAAUGUUCACUUCCUGUCACAGUCAAGAUACUACAAGUCAUUCAAAUUAUAAUACUUUCUUCGUAAUAAAUCACAUGAAUUUUGAAUUGAACAAACGAUAAUGACAAAUAUUAAAUUCACAAAAGAAACAUGUAUUAACUUCGAUUCAUUUUUUAAAAUUCGCUCGGAGGAACUUCAAUAUCAAUUCUGUUCGACCAAAUAAAGCUAUUGCUUUCUCUCAAGUACCUUCUCUCAAAAAGAAGUAAACAUUUACAUAGAGCAUUUGUUUCUUUCCUUUUCAAUAUCUUAAAAGAUAAUUGUAUUCGAACGUAACGCACUGACUCGAGUAUGGCUACUAAAUUUAUUACGACGCGCUUAAUGUCAUUCACAUAAUAUCCAGAACGUCAAGAUAUUGUAAUGAAGUUAGCAAACCUAACUAAAAGCUAAAAAUACUUGCUGUCAAUCUUAUCGCCGAUAAACUAAAAAAAAAACACAAUUCUUGCAUGACUUGUAAGCUAUAAAAGAAGCUCACAAAAAGAAAUAGAAGCAUGACAAUUUCAUAGAAACUUUUCGCGUACGGCCACGAUCGUACGAGAACGUUACGAUAUAAGAAGAAGGAGAGCGCUGUGCGUUCUCGAGACUUUUAAGUUCAUUUCCUCAAACUACGAAAUCCGUUUAAAGUACGAAAACCCUAAAGCUAUCCAAGCGUAAAGCAACGACGGCGUAAUCAAAUGGAGACCACGUAAGCGGUCAGCGAUCGUUUUUAUCUAUCCGAGUUUGCGGCAUGCAAUCAGUGAGGCGCCCGUUGACUCGUGACGCUUCCGGUCCAGGCUUCCGGUCCGUGGAACCGCACCGUUUCCGUUCGGCUGCCCAGCCCACCGAUCUGGCCGGUCGUCGUCGUAUAUCGUGGAUCCGUGUCCGAGAAGCACUAUCGAAAUCAGUGCCAGCGUCUCGUCAACGUGAAACACAGGCAUCAUACCAGUUCGAUCCCCGGGGAUAAUCGAGUCGAGUGAUUUUCGUUGUUGUUGCAGAGCAACGGCGUGGCGCCUCGUCUGCGUCCGUUCUGUGUCGAUCGAGGAUCGAACAUCUAAUGUACGUGCCAGAAACGAGGUUACGCGCGAUUUUCGAGCCAAUCUACGGGCACCAGACGAUCUGGCUGCUUGGAAAUUGAUCGGCUAACAAGUCGCCUGAAUCGUAUGCGAUACUCUACGAUGUUCAAUUAGUUGCAACGUGGAAAAUACAUGCAUGACGCGUGUUAUAGGCGAUAAUUGUGUGCGCAGUGAUUUCGUUCUUUCUUCGUUCUAAAUUUCAUGGUUCUUCGAUGAAUUCGUUUGAGAUGGAUGAAAUGGUUAUUGGAGAAAGGAUGCGUCUACACCGGAAACUACUUACAAAACGAUCGUGAUCGCUUAACAAGCCUUCUUUAAGUUAUUUAUCGCUGAAAGUUCUUCGCGAAAGUGUUGAAAGUUACGACUGAUGAUGGAAAUGCAUCGUUUUACAGUGCUUUCGAUUUUUAUGUCUCUCUGUCGCGAAAGUUUCGAUUAACGAGUGCUUCUAUUCUCUGAAUGAAUUGUAUACCAAUCUCAAUUGAACUGUAAGGAAUAUCUGCGUUGCUGUGAAAGACGAAAUGCAGGGUAUUAUCGGUGUUAUCGAAGAUGAUUUAAUAGCAUCCAUUAUCUUUAUAUCUCCGUCGCUUUUUCCAGAGAAUAUCAAAUAUUAUUGAAAGUUAUUCGUAAAAUUUAUUAUCGUAAAAUUUAUGACCAUACCUCCGUAAUGAUAUUUUAUAAUGAAUAAUUUCCGUUAAAGAACAUAUAUCGAAUAAAUAUUAACAAGUAUAAAGAGUGUACAUGAUUAUUACUAAUUUCUUAUCUCGUAUUCAGUUCAAAAUUACCAAUUAUUAUUCUUGGAAUAUUUAGUUGAAUCAGGCAACGAUACACGAAUACAAAGAAGAACUUGAAAAUCGAAUAAGAGAAGCUUAUAAAGCCAUGAGAUACGAUAACAGAGUAUCAGGGAGUACAUUACCGUGCUAGAUAGUAAUUCGAAUCGAUUUUCAAGCAACAAAAGCCAUUCACGAUUUCAAUAAUCGUAACAUUACAAACAGGCGAUUAUUCCGAGAAUUUCGCGCUUGAUAUUCCACAUUCGUUGUAUGACGACGUUGGAAGAGCGUUCUGAACGGUGAGCCGAACGGUAAACAGCGUUAUGCACGUUUCUCGGGCGUUAGCUGAACAUGGGGAGGCGAUGAGCCGGUUAUAUUGCUGAAUAUACACCUAAAGUUUGGAUCGCGAUGGCUGACCGGUGUUCUAAUCUGGCCGGAGGUCAAACUGGAUAAUCAGCGUCGAUCAUCGUCGAGCGAGAAAAGUAGUAAUCGCUGAACUAAGCAAACCGGCGCCGAUCCCCCGUGUGUACAGGUGUAUGUGUAUGUUUGUGUUGCGCUACGUUGGACGCGAAAAUGGCGGUGGUACCGGGUAAGAAUAAAUUGAAAAUGGGCAGUGCGGGCCGAUACUACAGCGCCUAUCUCAUCUACGACGUGGCGAACUCGUGCCUGGCCGCGUUGCACGCCAAGAUGCCUCCUCCGGUUGUCGUCACGCGAACCAACCCUCCGUCUCCUAUGCACGUCCAGAACCCCCAACACUACCACAUAUUCGUAGGAGAUCUGAGCCCAGAGAUCGAGACGCAGACCUUGAGGGAAGCCUUCGCUCCUUUCGGCGAAAUCUCAGAUUGCAGAGUUGUAAGAGAUCCACAGACGCUCAAAUCCAAAGGAUAUGGGUUCGUUUCCUUUGUUAAAAAAGCGGAAGCGGAAAGUGCCAUCGGUGCCAUGAAUGGACAAUGGCUCGGUAGCAGGAGUAUUCGAACGAAUUGGGCGACUCGCAAACCCCCUGCGCCAAAAUCCGAAGCAAACGCAAAACCAUUGACAUUCGAUGAAGUGUACAAUCAAAGUAGUCCGACCAACUGUACAGUAUACUGCGGUGGACUAACUAAUGGUCUAACAGAAGAACUAAUGCAAAAAACUUUCUCGCCUUUUGGAUCCAUCCAAGAGAUUCGUGUAUUCAAGGACAAGGGUUAUGCUUUUAUCAGGUUUUCUACCAAAGAAUCGGCGACACACGCUAUUGUGGCAGUACACAACACCGACAUCAAUGGUCAAACGGUGAAAUGUAGCUGGGGCAAGGAGAGCGGGGAUCCGAACAAUGCCCAGCAAACCGGACAGGCGUUAUCGUCGGCGACGUACCCAUACUACGCGGCGGCAGCAGCUGCCGCCGCGGCGGCGGCAGGCGUCGCGGGUGUCGGAGGCGUCGGUGGCGUCGGCGGAGCUGGCCAGCUAGGAUACUGGUAUCCGCCCCAAUCUUAUCCUACGACAGCGACGCAGAUGCAAGCUGGUGGCUUCCUCCAAGGAAUGCAAGGAUAUACUUAUGGACAGUUCGCCGGAUAUCAACAGGCGCAGUACAUGGGAAUGGGAAUGGGUGUCCACGCUGCUGGCACGGCAGCAGGUUGGGGCCAGGGAUUACCUGGGGGACCACAGUUACCGCCACACCAUGCCACGACGGUCACGGCACCCCCAGGGGUGCAAGCCGCACCCCCACCACCACCACCUCCGGCACAAAUGAUGGCCUACCCGAUGCAACAGUUCCAGUAUGUAUUUGAAGAUGUAAGAGGGCCUAGCAAUACAUAUUCGAGAUGAGGGAAUACUAAUGAAAAAGAGUUAUAAAGCCUAUCAAGAUCCUGCAUAAGAAUCUUUCAUCACACUAGCGGAUGAGGACUGGCUGACGCCUAGCCUUCUAGUGUGAUGGUAAGCAAGUACACCCCACCAACAGGAACAACUUCUACAGCAACAACAGUUACCACCACCACCACCACCAUUAUCACCACUACCACAACUACCAACAACAACAAAAUUUCCGUCACCAUCGACGCCACCGCGACAGCAAAAGCAACAAAAAUCAUGCCGCUUCCGGCUUGAUGAAACAUAAAAGCAGAGGGCAGAAAUUGCCAAACGUAGUUAACGAUCGCUUUAAUGAACAGAGCAAGGGGGAAAAAAAGUAUGACAGGAAAAGGGGAUGAAUUCUUAUCUAUAAAAGCAUUUCUUAAAGUAAACGAUAAAAAAAGACAAAAAAAUGUAAGGAGAGAAUGACAAAAAAAAAAGAGAGUACUUCCAGAUUCCCUUAAAAUUUUCACGUCCAAUAUAACCGGCAACCUUUACGGGAAAGAAAACUAACUGGUACCGUCAACAAGUCGGAGGUAUCCUCUCGUCCAGUCUGUAGGGUAAUGUAGUGUCUCUCUCGGCUUGAAUUAAUAGAUAGCGUUGCCGUCACGGUAGUGUCAAAAGCUUCAGUAAUGAAACACGAAUUCCGGGAUACGCGGACCACCAUGUGAUCAUCAAAGACAGUUUGUAGCGUAAACAACCAAUAUUUUGUGUGUUGUAUCGUCCACAAAGGACUGAUUACGGAAGAGACGAACGAGUUGACGCAUGUUGAACAAGCUCGUGAUUUGCACUUUCCGCCAUUUAAUCGACGCUAAACUCCUUUAUCGACGAUAAACUCCUAAAAAGAGAAAAAAAAAAAGAGCGAAAGAAAAGCGAUAGAACGCCGCCAGUUAUCGACCCGUAACCCGGAUUCAUUAUUUUUGUAGUUUGGGCUUAACAGUGAAAAUUAAUAAGUCGAAAACGUAAAAAGAAACUGUAAACGCGUUACUCGGAGCGCAAACCAGCGACCGUCAAGUAAUCGUGCUGUAUAAAUGAUAAAUAAAAGAAAUCGAUAAACACGUGCACACUCGUGAAGAUUAUAUAAAGUAAAUUUAACAGAAAAAAAAGUUAUUAUAAACGAAAUUCAACAAUUAGCUAGUUAGGUAGGUAUGUUAUAAUAAAAAGUUACUCGAGGACGAUUCGAAAUUCGGCGGCAAGGCGGAAACAGACCUUCAGAAAUUCAACGAUUCCGCGUUCCUGAGGAACUGUUUAAACGUACAACCACUCGACUAUCGUGAACCACGGAACUGAAAGAUCCACGUGUCUUAAUCCAUUUUCCGCCACUGCGAGGACUUCUUCCUUCGGUUAUUAUAUUUAUUAUCAGACUCGAGGCCAAAAGACAAAUCAUGCGCGAAGUCUUCGCAGAACAGUCGAAGAGCCGUUUUUAUUAUUCGACUUGAUCCUUUUGACGCGGCACUUAGACAGUUGGAUAUUUUUAUAAAAGAUCAGCCGUAUGCGCCGAGGGGUGUCGACCGAUGCUGUUGGCGUGCCGAUCUCGCGAUUAAGAUAAAACAAACGUAACACACGAUACAAUAAAAAAAAAUGCAAGAUAAAAGGAUAUGAAAGGAUGGAAGGAAGCGACGAUUGGACAAAGCGUCAUCUAGCGAUCGAUCGAUUCCAAUCAAUCGUGUCGGGUCUACCGUGGUUUUUAACUUAUACCUUAGAUUUUUAUAUAAUACGAAUACCAUAGAACCAAAGGGAAAAAUCUCGACUUUAAGACGCUUAAGCAAUAAAUCACUAAGCUUAGGAAAGCGAAGAAACAAACAGUUUAUCCCUGCGUCUCUCUACUGUAACUCGCUCUCAGCUAUUCAGCUUGUGAGCCACGAAUUCGUAACAACGAAGGGGUACAUAGAUCGGAGAGAAGGGACACGACGCGAGUUUUAAGAAAUCGAUAAGAGAAAAAGAAAAAAAGAGAAAGAGAAAUGAUGGAAUGAAUCGGUAAAUGGUCUGUCCGACGUCCCGAAUUUCGACUUGGCCAAUCUAACGAAACAAAAGAAAUAAAAAAAAAAAACGAAAUCGAAACAAGUGUAAGUAAGAAACAAGUGUAAGCAUGCGUGGAUACGCUCGCGCGUACGAACGAGAGAAUGUUAGGAAGAGAGAACGAGGGUGAGCGAACGAGAGUCUGCGAAUAAUGAGAAAUUAUACAACAAGCGAGAGACGAGAAAAAAAGAUUAAACAAUUCGUAGAUAGACACAUUGCACAAACAGCACGAAAGUUAGAUUAGAGAUCCGUCGAGUUCCUUCCUCGCGAACGCGUAUCCUGUCCUCCGAUUGAAUCUUUCAAAGGUUGUUCUCUCUUUGUGUAAUUCCGUCGGAAUCGGAAAACAAAAUCCCUCAGCCUUUAAACCGUUGCUAUAUAUGUAUAUAGUAGCGAACAAAGAAACGAGAGAAGAGAUCGUUAGAAAAGAAAAGAAACAGGUUAGGGAUUAAGAAAAAAUGAACGCGAAGACCGACGACGGUUUAACAAGUAUAACGAGGACGAAGUAAUCCCAUCUGAUUUGCCUAUCUAUGAUCCCCGCUUUAGACCUUCGUAACCUGUCCAUACUUACUCCAUGCUUCGUCUCUUUCAGUUUUAAGCACGAUCCGAUGCUUCCGUAUCGUACUUCUUCUGUUUCGCCGUCGACCGUUCGAAAUCACCCUUUGAUAGACGCCUACUCUCUCUUUCUCUCCCUCUCCCUCUCUCUUUCUCUCUUGCUCUCUCUCUCUCUCUCUCCUUGCGCCCGUGUUUGUACGGUGUCUUUUUUUCUCAAUAAUGAAACUGUCUCAUCAUACGAGCGCGUCGUCGGGUGCAAAGCCAUGAGUUUCGUUAUGAUACGAUGAAUCCCGUAGGAUUUAGACGAGCGAACCGAAUAACGGAUAGAGAAACGAAAGAAAUAGAGACGAGCAAAAAGAAGAAAAAGAAAAGAAAGAGGGGAUAAAGGGGAUGAGGAAGAAUGGAAAACGGGCAAAGGAAAAGGAGAAAAAUAGAGAAAGGGGGAAGAAAACGGGGAGAGAGAUAAAGAGAGAUGGACGACUUUGUUAUUAAUCAAAAGAUAGACGACGGAUCGUGCUUUAAACGAAUCAAAAGCGUUCAACGUUUUCGAAUCAAAAAACGCGACGAUCAAAGAACGAUACAGGGACGUUUGCGAGACGUUAGAAUUGAUGAGAUCGCGAGAGCAUCGAAUACAAGAGAAUGACGAAAUCAAACCCGCUUGGGACAACGUAGCAUUUAGGAAAUAUCAGUAAAUUUACUAAUUUCCCGAACGAUUCGAUACGUAGUACGUGGAUAUGGAUAUAAAAGGUGUGCCUUCAGUCCAUCUCGCGGACCACAAAUAUUUCGUACCAUUAAUUCCUUGUAAACUAAUAUUGUUCUAUUCGGCGAGAGAAAACGAGCAAACGUUUCUAUGCCUGAAACAUAAAACGUAUGUAAGUAUAUAAAUCUGACAACUACGCGUAAUUCGAUAAUCUCUUAGUGUCUUCCCAGUACGAAAAGCAUCUCGACAGAACUUCACAAAUUUUACGUAGCACGAUCAUUUGUUAAAAUUUAUUACGAUUUAUAGAUGUUCGAUUUUAUUAUUGAAAUUGUUAAAUUAAUUGAAUUAGUUGACUAAUUUUCAUUUAAAUUUGACUAUCCGGUUAACUCGGAUAUUUCUUGACGUUUAUUUUUCAAACGGCGAAUCUUCGUCCGAUUAUUCAUAUUCCUAUGUAGUUUUCAAAUUGACACUCUGUAUACUCUAUACGAGAUCAGUGGAAUAUAUUCAUUCGGAUAAAUUGUUUCGUGUCGAUAAGUUAAGGCGAGAACUAUACAGAUGAAUCAAAAAUUUGUACAAUGGAGAAAUUUUUAUCGUGUACUUAAAACAUAAGGAUUGUGGCCCAAGAUUUAAAACCAACACCAAACAUAUUUCACUCUAUGCCCGUCAAUUGUUUUAUAAUUGAUAAACACGAGAGAGGUAAGAGCCAUUUGUAAAAAAAAAAGAAAAAGAAAUUACACGAACAUACAACGAAGUGAUACAAAAUUCAAUAACACGUUAUCGUGAAGCGCGGACGUGAAUCAUUGGCUAUUCCAAACAGUAACGGAGUUCUGUUUCUCGACACAAACGUAAUGAAAUACACAGCCUAAAGGACACGGUACCGAUCGCGAGGAAGAAACGAAAGAAUUAUAAAUAAAUAUAUACAUACAUAUAAAUACAAAAAAAUAUAUUAUAUAUAUAUAUAUAUAAAUAAAUAAAUACCAAAACGUGCAGCGACGACGAAAGCUGUUAUUUUGAAUCGUCGUAAGUGAAAAAAGAAAGCGCUGUGCGUGAGAUAAAAAAAGAAAUAGCUUUUAAGAGACGACAUAAGGACAUAAGUGAAACAAAAUAUCGUGUACAUUAUUAGUUAGGCGAACAAACAAGAAAAAAAAUAAAAAUAUAGGUUAUUUUUCUGAAAAGUGGAACGAGCGAGAGAAAAAGGGAAAAGGGCGGCGAAUAAAAUGGCAGGUAAGAGUUAGAAUGUACGACGUAAAUCGUAGCGUGAAUUUAAGGGGCAGCGCGAGGCGUCGUAUUGAAAGAAAGUCGAUUAAAGGGGGGUGGGGGAUGAAGGAGAAAAUCAAAUCAUACGUCUGGUACACUCUACUCUUACGUCCUUCGGCCGUAUAAUCACUCCCCUUGCCAGAAAGUUCACUUCUCGACUCGAUUCCACUUUCAACGGGAAGAAAGAGAGUGGUCCCCCACUCUUUUAAAGAAUCAGCGGGGAUCCUCGUCCUGUAAAAAGUAUUUGAAGAAUGACGCCUUAAGCAUUAAGGCGUGUAUAGAACUUACCGCUAGUCUCGAGUACGUUGUCUAGGUAAUAAAGCGAAUGAAGCUAGCCAAGUAAAAGGAGAAAAAAUAAAGAAAUACACGGCGCAGCGUCAAAGGGGAAACCAAAUGUAGUAUAAAGUGAUAAGUAGAUAAUUAAUGUAAUUUAAUUAGUAGAAGAUACCACGGGGUUUUGGAAAGUAACGACCACGAAGCGAGAGUGGAAUCGAGGAAAACCGUGUAAAGAAAUUUAGGCAAAAAAGGGUGAGAAUGAUGCGAACAAUACAGAAGGAUGAGAGCAAGAGAGAAUGGGAGAGAGAGAAUGCACGCUAGAGUGAUAUGUCUAAUAGAAAAUGGUCAAAUCCAUUUAUGGUACCUAAGUCAUGUGCGUAAUCACGCCCAGAAAAAGGAAUACAAAAUGACACGUACAUUGACACUCGUACAGGUAAAACGCACGCACGCACGCACGCACAAACACACGUACACGUAUGUAAAUACACACGUACAAACAAAAUCACAUUCUCUACACGGCAGCGUACGUAUAGAGAACGUAGCGGCGAGAAACUUAACAACAACUCUAGGCUUAGUAAUCUAGUCUAGCUUGACGAUCGCUAAGUUAACAAAUAAGAAGAAGAAAAGAAACGUUCACGAAAAAAAAAAAUGAAUAGCGCAAUAACUAUAUCCGCAAAUCACAUCGAGCACCGUUACACGACAUAUACACACACGCACACAUAAAUACUACACGUAAACGUAAAACACAACAAGGCAUAAACACGGAAAUAAAAAUAUAUAGGAAACAAGCUGCGGCUGCUGCCUCCAUCCUUCGUCCGUGUUCUCGAGACGCAAACUCUAGAAUUUCUACAGCCCUGUAACGCGUCCGAUAUUUCGCAAUUCUCGCCGUUUCAAGAAUUUUUACCGUCGUGUCGUUUAAGCUUCAGCAAGCUGGCAUACCAGCUGCCUAGCCGUUAUCGAAUCACGACAUUCUCGCGUUACCACGACCCAGUUCCUUCUUUUUUUUUACCAACCUCCUCUCCUAUUCUUCUUUCACACUUACUGGCAUCUUCGACUUUCUUUCAUUACUACGUAUCACGUCUUUGUGACAUUCUUUUGUCCCGACGUCCUUUCUUCUUCGUUUUGUCUUCUGGCUUCCUUGCCAUCCUUCUGUGCCGAACGACCGAAUCGCUCUACAAAUGAUUUCCUACACAGAAGGAUUCCUCUCGUGGAGAUUUACCAAAUAUGAUAGCCGACAAUCAUUCAAGAAACAUACACUUAGAGACUUGUACGUGUUCCUCUCAUCGAGGACUAAGUGAAAAUAAUUAACCAAGUUCCAGUAUGCUUUCACGCGACGUCUUACGAACAAUGGACAGAGAGGAUUAUCGGCAUCGGCGGCGAAGGAAAAUAGGAAACGCCAUCGCAUCGGUUUUGUCGAACGCCCUGUUAAUAUUCUAUGUAUCGAAUCACCACAUCUUCGCUUUUAACAAAUAUACAACGAAACACUGUUUCAAUGCGUCAAAAGCGUUACACGCGCAUAAAGCACAUAUAAAACAUAUCACUGCGUUGUUUAGCAAAGUCCGUGAAUCUUCGUUAGAAGUCGUAGAAAGAAACAACAGAUGUAACGUUGUUGAUAGAUCCAGUGGCGUAAGUCGCAAGUAUUGGCCGCUUAAAGCGGUUUUUGUUCUUGAUGGAAGUGAAACGGUGAAUGAAAAUAUGAAGUUUGUAUGGUAGAGUUAGGAAAUUUAAACAGAAUGGUUGUUAAGUAUCUCGUAUUGUUUCGUAGACAACCUCUAUAAUUAAAAUUGGUAACGUAGUUACAUUCCUAUAUAAAAUUCUUCGUUCUUGUACAUGCUUCGUGAACAAAAUGUUUUCAUGAUUGAAAUUGAUUUAACUAUUUCGUAUAGGAGAAAUUUAUUUUACGUAGAAGUUAUCCUUUUACGCAAUUUGUCAACCGUUCCUUCGACCAUGCGCAGACAGACGGACUGCGUGUACCUAUCUUACCGUCCUAUAAAAUAACAUUGUUUAAGAGUAGUUACAUUUGUUUAAAAAUGUUACUCUGAGAUGAUACGCGCCAAAUAAGAUCACGGCAUAUACAGUAAUUAAACGAUCAUGUAACGUUGUACAUAUAUAGAGUCGUUUCGCAUAUGUAGCAAGAAUCUAGAGAAAUACGACGUAGAAAACUAUAGAUAACUACCAGAUCUAGGUAACCGUACGAUUUAGUCACAGCUAUUGCUGAUUCUUUGUAGCAGCCCGCAGUGGAAUAUUCGUCUGUCCUUUGUGUACAAAGAAGAUUUUGUGUUUGUACAAAUGAAAGAAAAAGAAAAUUGGUGAACAAAAUUGUGUAUUUAACCGUUUGCGCUUGUUUAAUGUUGUACAAAUAAUAUCGCAUCGGAUUCUGAAACAUCGUAAAAAGAGCGUAGAAGUCAUGUUGGUAGAUUAAACAUAACAUGAAAAUAUCGUCGUCGAUAAUUGUUAACCAUGAAAUACAACGCAUGUAAGUAGGCCAAGCAGAGAAACGUAAUACUUUAGUGAAUGCACAUAAACGCAAGAAUUCCUGCUUUUAUCGUCGAUAACUUGGCUCUCCUUUCGUUCAAAUUCAUAGUAGGAAAAAAAAUAUAGAAUGUUACGAGCGCAAUGAAAAUGAUUCAAGUGUUUAACAAAUGGAUGACAUGCACGGUUUUCUUUAUUCACGGGGAAAUAAAAACGUCAAACACCGGGAAAUCUAAUCUUGAACUUUCGAAAAGUUUAUCCGCUUGAAUUCAAUCAUCACCUGUAACGUCAUCUUGUCAAUCGGAAACUGGCAAAAGGGUAGGAAGGCAGCAGUCAAGCCACUCUAGAAUAUCGACGCAGAGUACCGUGAAAACAGUUUAGCGUUAACACAAGAAUGUUUAACAGAAAUUUGUAAGAGAUGAUGCACACAGCGAAAGAAAGCAAAAGUAGGAGCCGUAAGCGUAGUCACCGAGCAUACCUUAAAAUAACAUAUGUAUAUGAUCAUAUAAAUAUAUAUAUUACAAAAAAAAGACUACAAAAAACCAACACGCGCAUCUAUAUGUGUAUACAUACAUACGUCUAUAUGUAUAUGUAUAUAUACACACACGUAUAAUACAAAAAAAAAAUAUGUAUAUUAUAUAUACAUACCAGAUAUAAAUGUGUAAGAAGAUAAUAGCCGACAACUAGAGAUUAUAUCGAGUAUAAGCUUAGAAACGAGAACAGGAAAAGGGGGCGGAAGACGCGUCACCUGUUAACGCGUACUCCGCGACAUACUGUGUUAAAUACCCUUAGCCGUAAGGAAACUUCAAAACCAUUGAAACGUAUCUCGUGAAAGAAACAGACACGAGAGAAAAUGUUGUGGCCAGCCUGCCGGACCCCCUGAGCCCCUAAAAAUAUGAAUAUGUAAUACGUUUGCUGCAUCGAAUGAAAGGAACGCAACGAUAUUACGAGAGCGAAAGGAGAAGAAAAAAAAAAAGAGAGAAAGCGAUCAAGCGCAUGAGAAAGAAAAUACGUGUAUGUAUCGGUUAGCAAGUGAGUGAAUAAAUGAACAAGAGUGAGCGUGUGUGAGAGAGAAAGUGUGAACGAUAGAAAUUCACGCGCCUCGACGGCAAAAAGACAAGUUCUUCGGAGAGACAAAAGUUUAAUAAUAAACGCUAAUUACGAUCACGUCCGAUUCAUACAGAGAUUACGACGUUCCUUCAUUGUUUCGUAGUGUUUCGUACGAUCCGACGUGCGCGUCACGGGGUCCAUUAUUAUAUCGUAUAAACCCCUUCCCACUCCCAUUCCAACCCCCCAGCGCGGUAUGCGGCAUAUCACUUACGACCGUACGCUAAGGAGUAAGGUGCCUUUUUUUCACUUCAUCGUGUGUAUGUAUUUCGGGGUUAAAACAAGCGAACAAAAUAAAGAAACCAAAAAAAAAGAAAAUAAAAAGAAAACGCGAGUAAACAAAGGGGGGAAAAUCCAACGUAAGAUUUUAUGUAUCACGUGUAGAAACGGCACGACGGAGCUCAAGGGAAGGGGCAUGUGACAUCCAUCCAUCGUACGUCGUCCGACAUACUUUCACGUCGCGAAGAUCCCUUUCCAAAACUCUAAUGCGAAGCGUUGAACGGCAUUGUGAACAAUGAUGUAAUCGAGAAUUCGAAAUGUAUUUCCGCGAUUCGAUGAACGGCCCGCGGGGUCCCAUGGCAGCCUCGUUGCAUAUACUUAAGCUUAGGAGAUGUGCAGUCGCUGGACACAGCUCAAGGAGCAACAACCAGGCAAAACCUUGUAUAAUGUACUUACAUGUAAUUUCUAACGACGUGACAGAGAUGAUACGUGAUAACGUAUCAGGUGCGCGUGCGCGAAUACAGGCCAAUACACACAUACACAUAUAUGUACACGCAUAUACCUAUAAAAUAGUAAAAUACACGUACACGUGAAACAGAUAGACACAUAGGAAUGGAUGAUACAAACGUACACUUUAUACACGAAUCACACAGGUGACAUUACUUAAAAAAAGAAAAGAAAAAAAAUAGAUGCACACGUGCACGUGCACAUAGAGAAAAAUGAUGGAAGAUACCUCCAAAAGACAAUUUUCACAGGAUAUAACAAUGGAAACGCGAGACGCCCUGGGACGUGCGUGAAAAAAAAAACGUGUAUGAUAUUAUGUAUACAUAAUAUAGCAUAUAAAGUAUAUUAUAAAUAAUGAUGAAUAUAAAUAAAAAAUAUAUAUAUAAAUACUAUGAAGAAGUAAACAAAGUAUAAAUAUGAAGGAAGUAUAUAAACGAGAAUAUAGGAUAAAACACGCUUAGGCUUAAGAGUAUAAGAUAUUAUUAUGAUGAUAUAUGGUUGGUUUAUAAUGUAAAAUAUAUUAUAGAAAAUGUA